rnacentral:rRNA from 1 species
UACGUAGGGGGCAAGCGUUGUCCGGAUUCAUUGGGCGUAAAGCGCGUGUAGGCGGCCAGGUAGGUCUGGUGUGAAAACUCGAGGCUCAACCUCGAGAGGUCAUCGGAAACCAUCUGGCUAGAGUCCGGAAGAGGAGAGUGGAAUUCCCGGUGUAGCGGUGAAAUGCGUAGAUAUCUGGAGGAACACCGGUGGCGAAGGCGGCAUCCUGGACCGGCAUUGACGCUGAGGCGCGAAAGCUAGGGGAGCAAACGGG